GACGAACGCUGGCGGCGUGCCUAAUACAUGCAAGUCGAACGCUUUUUCUUUCACCGGAGCUUGCUCCACCGAAAGAAAAAGAGUGGCGAACGGGUGAGUAACACGUGGGUAACCUGCCCAUCAGAAGGGGAUAACACUUGGAAACAGGUGCUAAUACCGUAUAACACUAUUUUCCGCAUGGAAGAAAGUUGAAAGGCGCUUUUGCGUCACUGAUGGAUGGACCCGCGGUGCAUUAGCUAGUUGGUGAGGUAACGGCUCACCAAGGCAACGAUGCAUAGCCGACCUGAGAGGGUGAUCGGCCACACUGGGACUGAGACACGGCCCAGACUCCUACGGGAGGCAGCAGUAGGGAAUCUUCGGCAAUGGACGAAAGUCUGACCGAGCAACGCCGCGUGAGUGAAGAAGGUUUUCGGAUCGUAAAACUCUGUUGUUAGAGAAGAACAAGGAUGAGAGUAAAACGUUCAUCCCUU
rnacentral:rRNA from 1 species